rnacentral:rRNA from 1 species
GACGAACGCUGGCGGCGUGCUUAACACAUGCAAAUCGAACGGAAAGGCCCUGCUUUUGUGGGGUGCUCGAGUGGCGAACGGGUGAGUAACACGUGAGUAACCUGCCCUUGACUUUGGGAUAACUUCAGGAAACUGGGGCUAAUAUCGGAUAGGAGCUCCUGCUGCAUGGUGGGGGUUGGAAAGUUUCGGCGGUUGGGGAUGGACUCGCGGCUUAUCAGCUUGUUGGUGGGGUAGUGGCUUACCAAGGCUUUGACGGGUAGCCGGCCUGAGAGGGUGACCGGCCACAUGGGGACUGAGAUACGGCCCAGACUCCUACGGGAGGCAGCAGUGGGGAGUAUUGCACAGUGGGCGGAAGCCUGAUGCAGCAACGCCGCGUGCGGGAUGACGGCCUUCGGGUUGUAAACCGCUUUCGCCUGUGACGAAGCGUGAGUGACGGUAAUGGGUAAAGAAGCACCGGCUAACUACGUG